CAAUGCCUUUUGCUAAAUCAAAUCUGAUUUUCCCAAAGCCGACCCUCAUAAAAGCAGCACCAAGUUCCAAGUGGCAGUGGGAGGAGCCGCCAGCAGAUUCACAGCUGAUUCUUCUACAGCAGGGGCCGGUCAGAGGAAAUGUGUUAGUCGUUGAAGGCCACGCGGUCUCUGUUGCAACUACUCUGCCGUUGUCCAACAAAAGCAACCACAGACUGUGGCAACCGCAGAUGUGGCUGUGCUUCCGUAAGACUUGAUUUAUAAAAACACAACCCGCCGUUGCCCCUGUCCCACCGCUCCUAUACUCGAACCCAGGGCUCAGACUCUAAACUCCUGUAGCUGUGGGAACCGAACACCAGACGUGCUCCGAAAGCUACAAAGAUGGAAUCAUGACAAAGAGGCCACUUGUGCAAUACGCAGAUACAGGAGCUGUGUGACGGUUGUUAAGGCCCCACGGCUCUGUCGGGAGCAUGCUUCGGCCACCUCGGAACACCCCCUUCCUUCGUGAGCAUCCACGGGCACGGGGGCGAGGGAACACAAGAAGGGACAGGUGGGCAAGGACCAUUUUCAGACACAUGGGAAAUGUUUCGUCUGCAGUGGAGACGCUGGGCAGGCUCCGUGAAUCGAUCAUUUCCUUGCAUUAACACCUAAAUAGAACCAAAAGAAACCCAACAUGUGCCUUAAAACCAAAUUAAUCUCUAGGAAAAGCCAGGUGUGGGGAAGUGGGCGGGACCUGUGGAAGGAAGGCAGUCGGUUCACUAGAGGUUAGGAGGGCUUUGGUGUCAUUUGCUCGGUCACUUGCUAUCUGCGGGAGCGGCUUUCUUCUCCUGCCCUCCACCACCCAUCAGUGCAGGUCCACUGGGGCGGGCUGAGAGCGAGCCCAAAGCACACAACUCAUGCAGGCUGCUGGAGCUGGGAAGUGGGUUGAAAUGAGCUCUCUCUCGCACUGUCUACACUACUGCUUCCCGACUGCCAAAGGCAGGCGACGAGAGCUCAGUGCACCAACAUCAAUAACAAAAUGAUCAACAAACAUCCAAAAUAUGUUUUCUGAUAAAUACUGUCAAACUCCACUUCCUUGGAGCUUCUAACAAGGAAAAGGGAACACGCACACCCACACAGACACACACGUGUACCCCCUCCUACUCCACAUCGGAAGGCCAAAGCAUUGGCAUCUGUAAGAUCACUGUUUUUAUACAAUUAAACCUUGGGUUCUUCCAAAUUAGUUUUGCCAAUCUGCCGUUUGGGGACCGUCCGCAAAUAAGGGUUAACGAUUCUCCCCUAUCUGAAGGACAGCAUUACCUGGGCAGGCUGAGAAGGAAAACAGACACACAGAGAGGUUUAAAAAACUUUCAAACACUUGCAAAACAAAAGGGAAGUGUAAGAAGCUGGUUGUUUUAUACACUUCUAGUAAUAGGCCACAGCACUUCAAAGAGCUGAAUUCAAAUGAAUUCAAGAUAUUGUGUGACAUCAAUAUAUUAUGUGGCCACACACACACACACACACACACACACACACACAAAGUAUAUGGAUAGAUAAGAAAAUUCUUCAUGACCAUGUAACUGCUAACAACUUUAUUAGAGCAAUGAGGAUAUGCAAAUAUAGCAGGUUUUAUUUGUCACCUGAUAUAGAACAAGAGUGAACAGUGAUGUGAUAGAAUUGUCCAAGAUGUGGAUAUACUCCUUUUUACAAUUUUUUAAAUAACAGCUGUUUGUAUCGUACCCACAAUCUUAAAAUAAAAAUUGCAUAAGCAAAUUAUAAAGAGGACA